rnacentral:rRNA from 1 species
GCGGUACUCUGACCGUGCGAAGGUAGCAUAAUCACUUGUUCUUUAAUUAAGGACUAGCAUGAACGGCAUCACGAGGGCCUUACUGUCUCCUUUCUCCAAUCAGUGAAACUGAUCUCCCCGUGAAGAAGCGGGGAUUAUACUAUAAGACGAGAAGACCCCAUGGAGCUUUAAACCCAACAGACAACCCUUAGCCCCUCACCCCCCAAAACUUUUAGGCCCUGUUUGCUGGUUUUAGGUUGGGGUGACCGCGGAGUAAAACUUAUCCUCCACAAUGUAUGGGACUCCUCCCCUUAUCCACGAGCCACUGCUCUAAGAAUCAACAAAUUGACAACAAAUGAUCCAAUUUUCUGAUCAAUGAACCAAGUUACCCUGGGGAUAACAGCGCAAUCCAUUUUAAGAGCCCUUAUCGACAAAUGGGUUUACGACCUCGAUGUUGGAUCAGGGUACCCAAGUGGUGCAGCCGCUACUAACGGUU